rnacentral:rRNA from 13 species
GACCUCGGAUCAGGUAGGAAUACCCGCUGAACUUAAGCAUAUCAAUAAGCGGAGGAA